UCAAAUACAUGUGUUGUUUGAGUUGAGGCGUCAAUCAGAGGAACAUAUUUGCGAAGAACAUAUCCAGGAGGAAGUUGGUGUGCAGAAAUGCCAGGCGUAACGCAAGGCGAUGGACUAGAUUGAGCGUUUACAUUUUUUGAUUGCAACAAACGAUUUAUCACAGGAUAUGAAUAUUAACAUAAGUUACGUGUUUUACUUCAAUGUUUUCAUGUGGCAGAUUUUACAAAUGUACCAGAUUCUAAAAAUGUUGCAAAUCAUCUUCACAACAAAUAUUUGAUUCUGCAAAUCUAUAGAAUACAAUAAAAUGUUGCAAAGCGAUUUUUAAUGAACUUUACGCAAAGUCUGGUCUUCAGUGUCAGUUAAUUGCUCAGUUAAUUGUUUUUCUGCAAGUCUUCGCAUCCUUAUAAUUUGAUAAGUUUGUAAAUUAUAUUAUACUACGAAAAUUGAUUUUGUAAUAUAAAACUUUUUUU